GGUAUGAUUUAUGAAUGAAACUUUUUAUAAUAAUUCACUUGCAAGAUACGAAUGAAAAUGUGUAGAACAUAUUAAUAACUAUAAUGUGAUUUUUCUAACUUAUUUCUGUAUUUGUAUUUGGUAAAGUAACUACUGAAAUAUCAUAGAAGCUGCUGCAACUCUCAACAACGCGCGGAGGCAUAAAUCUUUCCAAUGCUGUUCAUAUUCCAAUUCAUACAAAGGAGGAGCAUCUGGCAAAACUCUGAUGGUGAUCGGUCAUCAAGACCAAUGUUGCCAUAACACUAACAUCUGCAUUUUUAUGCAAAGGAAUUAUCUUAAUAUUAAACCAAAGCUUUUAAACCUUUUAAUUAAACCAAAUGUACAUAAAAUUAUAACACAAAUGUACCUAGUAUAAGAAAAAAUAUUAAACGCCUUUUAACCUUUUAAUUUAAGUCAGCAUCAACAUGAAACAACCGCUAGUAAGUACCAUGGAUCCGUUUAUACACAUGGCUAUAAUUUACUGAAGACAAUUUCGAAAGAAACGAACUCCCUGUUCCAAAAAGUUGCAAUAAUAAGCAAAAAAGACUAAAUAUGUUCUGAAGGAGAAAUAAACCGUCUUACUUGAUCAAUGAAUAAAGAUAACACAAAAAGGAUGGUUAGAUUAAUGUUAUGUAC
rnacentral:lncRNA from 1 species